rnacentral:rRNA from 1 species
UACGGAGGGGGCUAGCGUUGUUCGGAAUUACUGGGCGUAAAGGGCGCGUAGGCGGCCUGUGCAAGUCAGUUGUGAAAUCUCCAAGCUUAACUUGGAACGGUCAGCUGAUACUGAUGUGCUAGAGUGCAGAAGGGGCAAUCGGAAUUCUUGGUGUAGCGGUGAAAUGCGUAGAUAUCAAGAGGAACACCUGAGGUGAAGACGGGUUGCUGGGCUGACACUGACGCUGAAGCGCGAGAGCUAGGGGAGCAAACAGG